rnacentral:rRNA from 1 species
GAUGAACGCUGGCGGCGUGCCUAAUACAUGCAAGUCGAGCGAAUGGAUUAAGAGCUUGCUCUUAUGAAGUUAGCGGCGGACGGGUGAGUAACACGUGGGUAACCUGCCCAUAAGACUGGGAUAACUCCGGGAAACCGGGGCUAAUACCGGAUAACAUUUUGAACCGCAUGGUUCGAAAUUGAAAGGCGGCUUCGGCUGUCACUUAUGGAUGGACCCGCGUCGCAUUAGCUAGUUGGUGAGGUAACGGCUCACCAAGGCAACGAUGCGUAGCCGACAUGGGAGGGGGAUCGGCCACACUGGGACUGAGACACGGCCCAGACUCCGACGGGAGGCAGCAGUAGGGAAUCUUCCGCAAUGGACGAAAGUCUGACGGAGUAACGCCGCGUGAGUGAUGAAGGCUUUCGGGUCGUAAAACUCUGUUGUUAGGGAAGAACAAGUGCUAGUUGAAUAAGCUGGCACCUUGACGGUACCUAACCAGAAAGCCACGGCUAACUACGUGCCAGCAGCCGCCGCAG